CGCGUAGGCGGCUUCAUAAGUCGGGGGUGAAAUCCUGUGGCUCAACCACAGGCCUGCCCUCGAAACUAUGAAGCUUGAGUCCGUGAGAGGAAAGCGGAAUUCUUGGUGUAUCGGUGAAAUGAGUUGAUAUCAGGAGGAACACCGGUGGCGAAGGCGGCUUUCUGGUGCGGUACUGACGCUGAGGUGCGAAAGCAGUGGGGAGCAAACG
rnacentral:rRNA from 1 species